ncrna:Finegoldia magna ATCC 29328 HNH endonuclease-associated RNA and ORF (HEARO) RNA
GUCAAUUACCCCACGACUAAAGUCGGGGCUUGUCUUAACAAACAGCCCUAGUUGAUUAGACUAAGCACUUAUGUUAUGUGCUACGUUACUUGUAAAUAUAUAGUUACCAAGGAAUGUUUUACCUAGUUCCUUGCUCUAAGAUAUGUGAUUAAAAGACCUAAGGGGUUGUGGUCGGUGUUGCAUAUACAAAACUACAAGAUAACAUUGUCGAAGGUAACAUUAC